GACAGAGGGUGCAAACGUUGCUCGGAAUUACUGGGCGUAAAGCGCGUGUAGGUGGAUUGGUGUGUCAGAUGUGAAAGCCCUGGGCUCAACCCAGGAACUGCACCUGAAACUACCAGUCUUGAGUGGUGGAGAGGGAAGUGGAAUUCCUGGUGUAGAGGUGAAAUUCGUAGAUAUUAGGAAGAACACCAGUGGCGAAGGCGGCUCACUGGUCCGGUACUGACGCUGAGGUGCGAAAGCGUGGGGAGCAAACAGG
rnacentral:rRNA from 1 species